rnacentral:rRNA from 1 species
UACGAAGGGGGCUAGCGUUGCUCGGAAUCACUGGGCGUAAAGCGCACGUAGGCGGAUUGCUAAGUCAGGGGUGAAAUCCUGGAGCUCAACUCCAGAACUGCCUUUGAUACUGGCGAUCUCGAGUCCGGGAGAGGUGAGUGGAACUGCGAGUGUAGAGGUGAAAUUCGUAGAUAUUCGCAAGAACACCAGUGGCGAAGGCGGCUCACUGGCCCGGUACUGACGCUGAGACACGAAAGCGUGGGGAGCAAACAGG